GACGGGGGGUCCAAGCGUUGCUCGGAAUCAUUGGGCGUAAAGGGUGCGUAGGCGGGUCUUUAAGUCAGGGGUGAAAUCCUGGAGCUCAACUCCAGAACUGCCUUUGAUACUGGCGAUCUUGAGUCCGGGAGAGGUGAGUGGAACUCCGAGUGUAGAGGUGAAAUUCGUAGAUAUUCGGAAGAACACCAGUGGCGAAGGCGGCUCACUGGCCCGGUACUGACGCUGAGGUGCGAAAGCGUGGGGAGCAAACAGG
rnacentral:rRNA from 1 species